rnacentral:rRNA from 1 species
UACAGAGGGUGCGAGCGUUACUCGGAAUUACUGGGCGUAAAGCGCGCGUAGGCGGCUUUGCAAGUCGGAUGUGAAAUCCCCAGGCUUAACCUGGGAACUGCAUUCGAGACUGCAUUGCUAGAGUAUGGGAGAGGGAAGUGGAAUUUCCGGUGUAGCGGUGAAAUGCGUAGAUAUCGGAAGGAACAUCAGUGGCGAAAGCGACUUCCUGGACCAAUACUGACACUCAUGUGCGAAAGCGUGGGGAGCAAACAGG